rnacentral:rRNA from 1 species
CCUACGGGUGGCAGCAGUGAGGAAUAUUGGUCAAUGGACGAGAGUCUGAACCAGCCAAGUAGCGUGAAGGAUUACUGCCCUACGGGUUGUAAACUUCUUUUAUAUGGGAAUAAAUUGUUCCACGUGUGGGACUUUGUAUGUACCCUACGAACUAGGAUCGGCCAACCCCGUGCCAGCAGCCGCCGUAAUCCGGAGGCUCCGAGAGUUAUCCGGAUUUAUUGGGGUAAAAGGGGGCGCAGGCGGUGGGGCAAGUCAGCGGUCAAAUUGCGGGGCUCAACCCCGUACUGCCGUUGAUACUGCAGGACUUGAGUGAGCGAGAAGGAUGCGGAAUGCGUGGUGUAGCAGUGAAAUGCAUAGAUAUCACGCAGAACUCUGAUGGCGAAGGCAGCAUACCGGAGAGCAACUGACGCUGAUGCACGAAAGCGUGGGUAUCGAACAGGAUUAGAUACCCUUGUAGUC